GGUUAAGCGACUAAGCGUACACGGUGGAUGCCCUGGCAGUCAGAGGCGAUGAAGGACGUGCUAAUCUGCGAUAAGCGUCGGUAAGGUGAUAUGAACCGUUAUAACCGGCGAUUUCCGAAUGGGGAAACCCAGUGUGUUUCGACACACUAUCAUUAACUGAAUCCAUAGGUUAAUGAGGCGAACCGGGGGAACUGAAACAUCUAAGUACCCCGAGGAAAAGAAAUCAACCGAGAUUCCCCCAGUAGCGGCGAGCGAACGGGGAGGAGCCCAGAGCCUGAAUCAGUGUGUGUGUUAGUGGAAGCGUCUGGAAAGGCGCGCGAUACAGGGUGACAGCCCCGUACACAAAAAUGCACAUACUGUGAGCUCGAUGAGUAGGGCGGGACACGUGGUAUCCUGUCUGAAUAUGGGGGGACCAUCCUCCAAGGCUAAAUACUCCUGACUGACCGAUAGUGAACCAGUACCGUGAGGGAAAGGCGAAAAGAACCCCGGCGAGGGGAGUGAAAAAGAACCUGAAACCGUGUACGUACAAGCAGUGGGAGCCUCUUUAUGGGGUGACUGCGUACCUUUUGUAUAAUGGGUCAGCGACUUAUAUUCUGUAGCAAGGUUAACCGAAUAGGGGAGCCGAAGGGAAACCGAGUCUUAACUGGGCGUUAAGUUGCAGGGUAUAGACCCGAAACCCGGUGAUCUAGCCAUGGGCAGGUUGAAGGUUGGGUAACACUAACUGGAGGACCGAACCGACUAAUGUUGAAAAAUUAGCGGAUGACUUGUGGCUGGGGGUGAAAGGCCAAUCAAACCGGGAGAUAGCUGGUUCUCCCCGAAAGCUAUUUAGGUAGCGCCUCGUGAAUUCAUCUCCGGGGGUAGAGCACUGUUUCGGCAAGGGGGUCAUCCCGACUUACCAACCCGAUGCAAACUGCGAAUACCGGAGAAUGUUAUCACGGGAGACACACGGCGGGUGCUAACGUCCGUCGUGAAGAGGGAAACAACCCAGACCGCCAGCUAAGGUCCCAAAGUCAUGGUUAAGUGGGAAACGAUGUGGGAAGGCCCAGACAGCCAGGAUGUUGGCUUAGAAGCAGCCAUCAUUUAAAGAAAGCGUAAUAGCUCACUGGUCGAGUCGGCCUGCGCGGAAGAUGUAACGGGGCUAAACCAUGCAC
rnacentral:rRNA from 1 species